rnacentral:ncRNA from 1 species
AAGACGUGGUAAAACAGCAUAAAGUGCCUCGUCUAUAAAAAAACCUCGUGAAUUGCUGGGAACUCUUUAAUGGCUUGCUGGCUACAACGGAACUGGAAACGGUAAACGUGAAGGCUUAAAAACAAGUGAGUGGAUAAAGACAACCAGCAGCCAAGCUCCUUAAAAGGAGAAGGUUCAACGACCAUCGAAAACACGCUACAUAAGCGGAAGUGAGUAGAGUAGGAAUCAAGCGAUUCCGAAGUGCGAGGACAUUCCAAGUGGAUGUAAGAUAUGGUCUGAACUCUGGGGUGACCUAGAG